rnacentral:misc_RNA from 1 species
UUUUAAGUCCAAUGUAUAAUAAUAUGAACGACAUAAUUGUGUGUUGCUUAUUUUAUAUUGUAUUCUUGUUUUUCUAAUUAAAGAUAAAGAAAAUAUAUAUAAUCACGUGGUAAAAAGUCACUUAUUUGUUAAAAAGAAAUAAAAAUACAAAGUAGUGCAAGAUGAAGUAACAUAAAAUAUAUGUGUGUGUCAAUAAAGCGUGAUAUAAAUUUGAAGAUAUUCGAAGAACAUAAUUAAAGAAAAAAGAAGGAUCGCUGUAUGUUGUUAAUAGAUCUUCAUAAUAUUGAGCAUUAUUCAUUCAAUGGAAUAGUGAGAUCUUUUUUAAUAAUCAUCUUUAGGCAAAAAAGAAAAGACAGAACAAGGAUAGAACAAUGAUAAGGUUAUAUCAGUGUACGUUUUAUCAAAUUUGACAUAAAUUCAGCGUAUUAAUAAUACGAAAAUUAUAAUUGGAACGAAAUAAAUUGAAAGAAGAAAAUCAAGCGCGACGAAAUUAUUGAAGACUAUAUUUUAAUCGGUAUGCCGUGGAGUCAUAAAAAUGUGAUAUUCGCGAGAAUUGGUUCCGCCCUAUUUUAUGGGUUGUCUUCAUUUAUGAUCACAGUUGUAAAUAAGACUGUGUUAACGUCAUUUGAAUUUCCUUCGUUUCAAUUGCUUGGCAUAGGACAAAUGGUGGCUACUAUCGUAUUACUUUUCACAGCAAAAAAGUUGCGUUACAUUGAAUUUCCUAACCUAGAACGAGCAACGUGUAUCAAGAUAUGGCCAUUGCCCAUCAUUUACAUUGUUUCAGGCUGGCUAGUUCGAAGAUUUUACAACAGCGAUGUCUCAUCAUUCACGAUGGAUUACGCGAAACAUCGUAUAUCUCUGUCAACGGUACAACGCGCGAUUUUGACGGUUGGUGCUGCUGCGAUAUCACUUCUCAAUCCUUAUCGAGGUGACAUGAUCGCAUGCUUGGCAGAAACAACCGGUACUGAUGCUCUUUCCUAUUGUCAUCGGCAAAUGCUUGCAACCUCCGAGGGAUGUCGCAUUCUUGCCGAAAAACCACGCAUAUCCUCUUCAACAGUUGAUUUUUCCGCGCUAAAACGAUUACCAGCAGGAACUCUUGGAAAAAUUUAUUACGAUUUUUUGGAAGUAAAUAACGUAUCUCCCGAUUCUAGAACUAUGGUCAAAUUCGUACAAGAUACUGAAUUGGCGUAUGUAAUGCAACGAUAUCGGGAAACACAUGAUAUUUAUCAUGCAAUACUUUUGAUGCCAACUACAAUGCUUGGGGAAGUAUCAGUUAAAUGGAUAGAAGCAUUGCAAUUACGUUUGCCAAUGUGUUUAAGCGGAGCGAUAUUUGGAGCAUUUCGAUUACGUCCAAAGCAAAGAAAAUUAUAUCUUGAUCAUUAUCUUCCAUGGGCUAUUAACACAGGAAUUAAAGCAAAAUUUCUUUUGGGUAUCUAUUUCGAGGAACGUUGGGAACAACCUCUUGUUGAUUUCCAUCGAGAAUUAAAUAUUGUUCCUUUAGUAUCGAUAGAAAAUAUUUAUAAUGAUAUGUAAAGUCUUUUUUCGGACGCUUUUUUCUCCGUUAUUAUAGUAACAAGAAUAGAAGUUAUUAGGUAGUAUAUAACAAUUUUUUUAUUCACCGUAACGUUGGAAAUAUGAAGAAUAUAAUUUUUAAUGGAAUAUGUAUGAUUUGUAUUACAAAUAUUUCGAUCGCUAUAAUCAGAAAUUUUAAAAAAUUUAUGUUCCUGUGUAUAUAUAUAGUGCAUAUACGCGCGAUACGAUGAAAAGUUGAUUCAUUUACAAGCAAUCAACAAUCUGAUUAGCAUCAUAUGGACAUAAUAUCCAUCCUAGUUUUCACAAAUGACCAAACGUCGGCACGGCAACUACGUUUACCCUGAGAAACAGAAAAAAAAAAAAUGGAUGCAAUAUAUAGAAAUUGAAAAGAGAAAUAUCUAUCUGAAGAAGAAAGGUACAUAUAUAUUAUAUUCAUAAUAUUAAAAAAGAAAUAGGAAGA